ACCUUUGUGAAUUGUUGUUUUGAAAUAAUUUUUUUUAAAAUUAUUGAUUGUCUUCCCUGUUGAAUUGGUUUCUUAUGGCAAAUGAUUCGCAGGGAGUGUCAGUAAUUUUUAAAAAGACCUUUUUUAAAAUUAACUUUUUGUAUUCAUUUGUCUAAAUUAUUUUAUAAUAUAAAACAACUUUUGACAAUGGAUCUCUUGGUUCUCGCAACGAUGAGAACGCAGCAAAAUGCGAUAAGUAGUGUGAGUUGCAGAGUACGUGAAUCAUCGAAUCUUCGAACGCAUAUUGCACUUUUAGUUUACUAAAAAGUAUGUCUGUUUGAGUAUCAGUAAAAUAUUCUCAUAAAACUUUUUGUUUUAUGGUUAUGAGUGUUUACAACGAUACAAGUUGUUUCACUUUAAAUUUUUUUAAAUUGAAUUUUCUAAUUUAAAAUAAAAUUGGAUAAAUUUCCCGUAAAAAGGAAUAACCUAAAACAAUUUUAAUUUUUGAUUAGAUUCUUCAAUUAUAAAGGAAAAUUUAACUAAAUAACUUGAUCUCAAUCAGAUAAGAGUACCCGCUGAACUUAAGCAUAUCAAUAGCGGAGGAAAGAAACUAACAAGGAUUCCUUAGUACGGCGAGUGAAGCGGAAGAGCUCAAAUUUGAAAUCUUCAAGUUUACCUUGACGAAUUGUAGUUUAAGAAGUGUUUCUGUUGAGUUUUGGUAAAGUUUUGGAAUAGGAAUCAUAGAGGGUGAGAAUCCGUAUUUGACAUUUUUCAGCUGUUGAUACACUUUCAAGAGUCGGAUUGUUGGGAAUGCAGUCAAAUGGGUGGUAAAUUUCAUCUAAAGCUAAAUAUGGCGAGAGACCGAUAGCGAACAGUACGUGAGGAAAGAUGAAAGAACUUUGAAAAGAGAGUUAAACAGUACGUGAAAUUGUCAAAGGGAAGCGUUUGACACCAGUGUUGUUUCUCGAAAAUAAUUAAAAAGUUGAUUUGUGGUGUAUUGACUUAACAGCUUGCUUCACUCUUUCUUGCUUUUUUAAUGCCUUUCGUUUACAAGUCACAUCAGUUUCUUUGUGUAAAGGGUCAUUGGAAGGUGGCUUUCUCUUCGAGAAGUGUUAUAGCCUUUGAUCUCUGCAAUGGAGAGACUGAGGUCUGCAGCGUAGAUCUUCGGGUUAGAUACAUUGUGCUAAGCUACAGCUUUCAUAGACACUUGUUGACUAUGUUUAGUCUUGUAACUUACCGCUAUGCUAUUUUACUACGCUUAGGAUGUUGA
rnacentral:misc_RNA from 1 species